GGGGGUGGAAGGGUAUCUGGUGAGCCCCGCGGUCUUCAAAACCGUUGGGGACGGCGUUCCCGUCCCGGUGUGUUCGAUCCGCACCCACCCUCGCCA
rnacentral:tRNA from 3 species